UAGCUUUAAGGUUUUAUUUAAAGUUUUACCUGCCCGGUGAGAUUUUUAACGGCCGCAGUACUUUGACUGUGCUAAGGUAGCAUAAUAAAUUGGCUUUUAAUUAAAGUCGGGUAUGAAAGGGGCUCCGGAAAGCAACUGUCUCGAAUAUAUAUUAUUUUAAAUUAUUUAAUGAGUGAAAAUCCUCAUAAACUUUUUCAUUAGACGAGAAGACCCUUAGAGUUAUAAUUAAAAUGAAUUUAUUUUCAUAUUUCAUUUUUGUUGGGGCAACAAAGACUGGAUGAAACCGUCAUAAACUUAUUUGACAUAACCAAUAUAUUUUAAAAGAAAUAAACUACCUUAGGGAUAACAGCAUAAUUAAUUUUUAGAUUGUGACCUCGAUGUUGGAUUAAGGACUUUGUUUACUAGCCGUAAAUAAAGAUGGUUCUGUUCGAACUAUAAUACCUU
rnacentral:rRNA from 1 species